rnacentral:rRNA from 1 species
AGGACUAACGCUGGCGGCGUGCCUAACACAUGCAAGUCGAACGAGGUAGCAAUACCUAGUGGCAGACGGGUGAGUAACGCGUGGUCAACCUACCUCUUAGUGGGGGAUAACUAGCCGAAAGGUUAGCUAAUACCGCAUACGAUCGUCGCGAGGCAUCUCGUGACGAUGAAAGGAGCAAUUCGCUAAGAGAGGGGACUGCGUCCCAUUAGUUAGUUGGUGGGGUAAUGGCCUACCAAGACUCCGAUGGGUAGCUGGCUUGAGAGAGCGACCAGCCACACUGGAACUGAGACACGGUCCAGACUCCUACGGGAGGCAGCAGUGAGGAAUUUUCCGCAAUGGGCGCAAGCCUGACGGAGCGACGCCGCGUGUGGGAAGAAGGCCUUCGGGUCGUAAACCACUGUCGAAGGGGACGAUAUUGACGGUACCCUUGGAGGAAGCCCGGCUAACUACGUGCCAGCAGCCGC